GGAUAAAACCCCACACCACCCUCCUGUUCCCCCUCACUCUCCUCCAGCCAUCCCACGGGUCCUCAGCCAGAGACCUUGCUUAUAUUCUCUGCCUCCCAAAUCUUACAUAGACAUACUUCUUUUAUUUUUUUGAGAUAGGGUCUCGCUCUGUUUUCCAGGCUGGAAUACAGUGGUGAGAUCCACUCCAGCCUGGACCUCCCAGGCUCAAGUGAUUUUCCCACCUCAGCCUCCCGAGUAGCUGGGACCAUAGGCGCAGGCCACCACGCCCAGCUAAUUUUUGUAGUUUUUCGUAAAGAUGUGGUUUCACCAUGUUGCCCAGGCUGGUCUUGAACUCCUGGGCUCAAGCGUUUCUCCCACCUCGGUGUCUCAAACUGCUGGGAUUACAGGUGUAAGCCACUGCACCCGGCCAACACACUUACCUCAAUCUAUAAUCCGUCUGUUUGUGAGAGUGUGGUCUCAGGGUUGGGGGCCAGGUCCAGGGACUGGUUGAUUCACUGCUCUGUCUCCAGCAUCAUUUAGCACAGGGACAGACACAGAGGAUUCUUUCCCGUUAUUUACCUGUGUUCAGAGUAGUGAUUGCAAGGACUGACCCAUGGGUAUCACUGUAGACUUCACAGAGUUUGAUACCAGUGACUACUUUUGGGAUGAAUGAAUUAAUAAAUUAAUGAAAAAAGUAAUGCAAAGGCUGAAAUACACCUGAACUCAUCCUUCUGGGGCAACCAGAAGUCAGAAGGGUUUUGGGUAGGGAAGUGGUGACUGGGUUUCCAGCAGCACCCAGUUUAGAGGCAGGUGCAGAGUAGGCACCUUGGAGAUACUUGUUAAAUCUCAGUCCAGCCAGGUGUUGGUCAUCACCCAGGGCAGACAGCAGCAAGAGAUGGGCAGGAGGGAGGGCAUGGCGCAGACUGUUCAUGGAGGACUUCUGAGAGCACAAGGAGGAGGCCUCAAGCUGGGUCACAAGCCUGAAGCACGAAGUCCCCUUCCUCCCUUCCCUCCUGCCCCAGGCAGCUGCUGGCAAAUGACCCCUUCUUCCGGGUCCCAGCCGUGGUUAAGGAGCUGUGCACGACACGGGUGCUGGGCAUGGAGCUGGCCGGAGGGGUCCCCCUGGACCAGUGCCAGGGCCUGAGCCAGGACCUGCGGAACCAGAUUUGCUUCCAGCUCCUGACCCUGUGUCUGCGGGAGCUGUUUGAGUUCCGAUUCAUGCAGACUGACCCCAACUGGGCCAACUUCCUGUAUGACGCCUCCAGCCACCAGGUGACCCUGCUGGACUUUGGUGCAAGCCGGGAGUUUGGGACAGAGUUCACAGACCAUUACAUCGAGGUGGUGAAGGCUGCAGCUGAUGGAGACAGAGACCUUGUCCUGCAGAAGUCCAGGGACCUCAAAUUCCUCACAGGCUUCGAAACCAAGGCAUUCUCCGACGCCCACGUGGAGGCAGUGAUGAUCCUGGGGGAGCCUUUCGCCACCCAGGGCCCUUAUGACUUUGGGUCGGGGGAAACUGCCCGCCGCAUACAGGACCUCAUCCCGGUGCUGCUGCGGCACCGGCUGCGCCCCCCACCCGAGGAGACCUAUGCCCUGCACCGCAAGCUGGCAGGGGCUUUCCUGGCCUGUGCCCGCCUCCGAGCCCACAUCGCCUGCAGGGACCUCUUCCAGGACACCUACCACCGCUAUUGGGCCAGUCGCCAGCCAGACGCAGCCACUGCCGGCAGCCUCCCCACCAAAGGGGACUCCUGGGCGGAUCACUCAUGACAGCCUCCAUGGGGGAUUCAGUCCCCAGAGCAGGCCAUACCCUGCUGUAGUGCCUCUUAUCGCUUCCCGGUCUGCCCUGGGUCAGAGGAGCCCCCUUGGGCUUCCCAGUCUUUGCCUGGCUCUCCUUGGCCCAGGAGCUCAGGAUCCCUGGGGCUGGGGAACUCCCAACUUCGUGCCCUAGAUCCUGCACCUCCCCACUCGAAAGCGGGCAUCCGGGAACUCUAAGCCAGGGAAGCGGUUAACUUAUCUUUGCCAACAUUUGAGGGAGCCUUGGGCCCCUGCAUGCCGUUAUGCAGAUCGGACUCAUCAGGGGGAGCCCUCACCUCUGCCUCAAGUCUCCCGUGGAAGGCGAGAUGGUCCUGGAGGCAGUCCUCACCUCUGCCUCCCUCGCUUCUCCACCAGCUGCCUUCUCCUGGGUUCCAGCCUCUCAGUGUGUUGGAGAGGUAGGGGUGCGGGGUGGGGGGGAGCUGAAUCUUCAAUCGGAAUAAAAGCAGCCCUCCCCUUC
rnacentral:sRNA from 1 species